rnacentral:lncRNA from 1 species
GUUUUUUGUCAUUUAUUAUUAAUAACAUGUCUGCAUAUGUAUUAAUUAUGAGUGGUCCAGCGCUCAAUGACUGGAUUAACUGGCUAUCUGUUUGGCAGCUACUCAAAGACAAAGUGAGAGCCGGAGAACCGCGGUGCUUCUUCCUAAAUGCUCUCAUCGAGGCACUCGUUCCAGCAGUAUUUAACGACAUUUUGCGACAGUUUGAUUUAUGAAUACAAACAAAU